CUGGUCACUUGCUAACAGCUGUGUGCCUGUCAUGCUCCCGUUAUGAUUUUAUCAGGGGAAAGUUCAAAUGAGUCAAGACUAACAAAAGAUAGUACUACAUUGUUAUGGAAAUUGCUCUGGAUUGGGGCUAGGUUCCUUUUAUGGAAGGUGAAAGAAGCUAUGCUCCUUAACAGGCAUGAUCAAUAAGGAACUUCCCAAAGUGGCGUGAACUCACAUGCUGGGAAACUCAACAAAGUGAUCAUUAUGGAGACAUCUUUUAAAUUAAAUAUUUGAAAGAGCAAUUUACAUGCCAUUCCAUCACUAUCCUAAGUUACUUUGAGAGAAGGAAAUAGAGGUAUACUCAUGAUCAAAAUAACAUCCUAUUAUUUUCAGUAGUGAAAUCUGGAAACAUAGAUUGUUUACUACAUGGGAAUCAACUGUGGUCUGAUAGAAUUCUAGUUCUUUACUAGCGAUGUAACCAGUGAAUCACUAGGUGGCAUCUAGGUUUUAGAGUCUAUUCAGAAUAGAAAAGCUAUAUAGAGGCGUAUAGAAAAGGC
rnacentral:lncRNA from 1 species